ensembl:lncRNA
AUUCAUCUCAACUUUGAAAGUCGUGUCCAGGAGGCUCACUCGCCUCCAGAUCUGUGGUCCUCAAUGACCCAGAGCUUUCACUGCUGCUCUGCUCCUGCGUCUUCUGAAGCUCAGCCCUCCUGGGUUUAAGGCUCUUGCUCCUGAUCAGUCUGCCUUGUAUUGUGUGCAUCUGCUUUGGACCCAGCAGGAAAAGUACUCGCAGAAGCCCUGUGCCUGGUGUGGUGGCCUGAAGACACAGCACAUGCUGCUGGGAGCUCCUGGCUCUGAAAAGGCUGUGCGGCUAUUAGGCUGACCUGGACCCGUGCCAGGUGGCUGUGUCCCCUCUGGGCAGAAUCGCUGCUGGUGGAGAAACGGCAGGCUGACCAGGGCGGAGCCAGCGUGGGGAGCGUGGGGGGCGACGCCUUGUCACCACAGCCGCGAGGUCGUCCUGCGCCUCAGCCCUCACCAUGCUGUCCCCACGCCUGCUGUCCCCAGUCGAGAUCAGCUCUCGGAAGGAAAGGAAGAGGCCUAUCUAUCCUGUUCCCCACUGUAGCCUCUGCAUCAAAUUCUGCCCAGAAGCGUUCCGUAAGAGUUCCGUAAGCGAGAUCAGCCCUCUGAAGGAAAGGAAGGGGCUUAUCUAUCCUGUUCCCUACUGUAUCCUCUGCAUCAAAUUAUGCCCACCUCAUAGUAAGAGUUCCCUAAAAGUUGGUUAUUUAAAUGAAUCAAAUUUUUACCAUUUCUUCAUUGGACUCUUUUUCAGAUUUUUUCCUCCUUUACCCUGAAUCCUAAAUAUUCACUGAUUCUCCCUUGUUUUUGUCACCAUUCCCACCCACAUUUAACCCCUGUGACUAUAUCAU